rnacentral:lncRNA from 1 species
UUUUUUUACAAUAAAAUUUUCCUUUUUUUUUUACAACAUAAUAAAAUUCUAUUUGAUACAUGCAAAAAUUAGAAAAUAUGGAUAAAAUUUUUAAGUUUGUUAAUGUUAUGAUAAUCAUUUUUUCCCUAUUUCUUGCUUCAACACGAAUUUCCCAUGGUAAACCGUUUUUAAAUCUCCCUUUCAAAUUUCCUUCUUUUCUUCUUAUACAAUAUUUUAUUCCAUUUUAAUAACAUUGUUUUUUCUCUUUUUACAUUACAGCUGACAUUCCCAUUCCAUGUAAAACUGAUCGUGAUUGUCCGGUACCUACCAUCUCCCAAUUCCGCCGUCCUAAAAGAAUGAGAUGCCGUAAAGGUUAUUGUAUAGGAUAAUAACUAUAAAGAUCGAAAGAUUAUAUGAUUGUCAGGUCCAAAAAAAAUAUACAAACGCACUACAAGAAUACUCCAUGAGUUCUCAUUUUAUGGGCCCAUAAAAUGAAUUUUCUUUUAACUUUUCUAAUUUCACGUAGCUUAUUAGUUUUGUAUUUUAAGAUGACGCAAAUGAAAUAAAGCAUGAAAAAUAUUAUCAACAAUUUCUUCUUCUAUACAUAUCUUAAUUUUAAGAUAUCAUCACGGUC